GCGGAAGUAGUUUAGUGGUAGAACAUCACCUUCCCAAGGUGAGGGUCGCGGGUUCGAUCCCCGUCUUCCGCUCCA
rnacentral:tRNA from 1 species